rnacentral:rRNA from 1 species
AUUGAACGCUGGCGGCAGGCCUAACACAUGCAAGUCGAGCGGAUGAAGGGAGCUUGCUCCUGGAUUCAGCGGCGGACGGGUGAGUAAUGCCUAGGAAUCUGCAUGGUAGUGGGGGAUAACGUUCGGAAACGGGCGCUAAUACCGCAUCCGUCUUGCGGGAGAAAGUGGGGGAUCUUCGGACCUCACGCUAUCAGAUGAGCCUAGGUCGGAUUAGCUAGUUGGUGGGGUAAAGGCCUACCAAGGCGACGAUCCGUAACUGGUCUGAGAGGAUGAUCAGUCACACUGGAACUGAGACACGGUCCAGACUCCUACGGGAGGCAGCAGUGGGGAAUAUUGGACAAUGGGCGAAAGCCUGAUCCAGCCAUGCCGCGUGUGUGAAGAAGGUCUUCGGAUUGUAAAGCACUUUAAGUUGGGAGGAAGGGCAGUAAGUUAAUACCUUGCUGUAUUGACGUUACCAGCAGAAUAAGCACCGGCUAACUUCGUG